UACGUAGGCAGCAAGCGUUGUUCGGAAUUACUGGGCGUAAAGAGUGUGUAGGCGGUGCUCUAAGUUUGUCGUGAAAUCUCCCGGCUUAACUGGGAGGGUGCGGCGAAAACUGGAGUGCUAGAGGGUGGGAGAGGAAAGCGGAAUUCCUGGUGUAGCGGUGAAAUGCGUAGAUAUCAGGAGGAACACCGGUGGUGUAAACGGCUUUCUGGACCAUAACUGACGCUGAUGCACGAAAGCGUGGGUAGCAAACAGG
rnacentral:rRNA from 1 species